rnacentral:rRNA from 1 species
UACAGAGACUGCAAGCGUUAUUCGGAUUCACUGGGCGUAAAGGGUGCGCAGGCGGCCAAGUGUGUGAGGCGUGAAAGCCCGGGGCUUAACUCCGGAAUUGCACCUCAAACUACAUGGCUAGAGCAUUGGAGAGGGUAGCAGAAUUCACGGUGUAGCAGUGAAAUGCGUAGAUAUCGUGAGGAAUACCAGAGGCGAAGGCGGCUACCUGGACAAUUGCUGACGCUCAGGCACGAAAGCGUGGGGAGCGAACAGG